rnacentral:rRNA from 1 species
CCCUUAGAUGUUCUGGGCCGCACGCGCGCUACACUGAUGAAUUCAACGAGCACUAACCUGCGCCGAAAGGUUCGGGUAAUCUUGUGAAAUUUCAUCGUGAUGGGGAUUGAUUAUUGCAAUUUUUAAUCAUAAACGAGGAAUGCCUAGUAAGCGUGAGUCAUCAGCUCACGUUGAUUACGUCCCUGCCCUUUGUACACACCGCCCGUCGCUCCUACCGAUUGAAUGUGCCAGUGAAAAGUUCGGAUUGGAGAUAGGAGACGGCAACGUAUCCUAUUUCCGAGAAAAUCUUUAAACUUUCCCAUUUAGAGGAAGGAGAAGUCGUAACA